rnacentral:rRNA from 1 species
UCGUACCUAACCCUAGGUGAAAACCGAUGUUAAUGUUUGAUGUGUUAUUAUAUUAUAUAUUUUAUUUAUAUAAAUAUAUAUACAUCCAUUGGGCGAAAGGGAAACCGGUU